AUACGGAGGGUGCAAGCGUUGUCCGGAUUUAUUGGGUUUAAAGGGUACGUAGGCGGCCGAUUAAGUCAGUGGUGAAAACCUGCAGCUCAACUGUAGAGGUGCCAUUGAAACUGUUUGGCUUGAGUUCUGUUAAGGUAGGCGGAAUUGAUGGUGUAGCGGUGAAAUGCAUAGAUACCAUCAGGAACACCGAUUGCGAAGGCAGCUUACUGGGCAUGAACUGACGCUAAUGUACGAAAGCGUGGGGAGCGAACAGGAUUAGAUACCCCGGUAGUCC
rnacentral:rRNA from 1 species